CAAUCUCCCUCUAUCCAUGUACAAAAAUCUACAUUUACUCAAACGUGGUCCUGUCAUCUUUUUCUGGAACACUGUCAGAACUCUCCAAACCCCCAAUCCCAGAUUGAAUUUCUCAGGAUUCUGUUUCCUCUAGAAUCACUGGCUCCUGUCUCUCAUGUCCAGCAACACAGCUGUCUUUGAAUGAGCACUUCCUGUCCACGUAGCCUGCUUGGAGUGCACUCGGCGACACAGCUGUCAAUGAUUUUGCCCCCACUUCACCCAGGAAUUCUUCACCCUGGUCACGACCUCUUCCAGGCGGGGCUCCGCAGAGUCUCAAUGACAGGGAGGAGGCUCCUGUGCAUCUCCGCAGCCAACCCUCAGCUGUCUCCUGCCAUCCCGACACUCCCUCCUGGCCCCAGGAUGGCGUCCUGCUGGCACGGCUGGCUGCUCUGGGCCCUGCUCCUGUGCUCCGCCAGGGGCGAGCUCUACACGCCCAUCCACCGAGCCGGCUACUGCACCUCCUAUGAGGAGUGCGGCCCCAACCCGGAGCUGUCGGGAGGCCUCACAUCACUGUCCAACGUGUCCUGCUUGUCCAACACCCCGGCACGCCUCAUCACAGGUGACCACUUGGCCCUCCUGCAGCGCAUCUGUCCCCGUCUUUAUAAUGGUUCCGGUACUACCUACGCUUGCUGCUCCACCAAGCAGCUGCUGUCCCUUGAGAUGAGCAUGAGCAUCACCAAGGCCCUGCUCACGCGCUGCCCCGCCUGCUCCGACAACUUCGUCAGCCUGCACUGCCAGAACACCUGCAGUCCUGACCAGAGCCUCUUCAUCAAUGUCACCCGCGUGGCUCCUCGGGGAACCGGGCAACCACCAGCCGUGGUGGCCUAUGAGGCCUUCUACCAGCGCAGCUUUGCAGAGCGGGCCUACGAAUCCUGCAGCCGUGUACGCAUCCCCGCAGCCGCCACGCUGGCUGUGGGCAGCAUGUGCGGUGUGUACGGCUCGGACCUCUGCAACGCCCAGCGCUGGCUCAACUUCCAGGGAGACACGGGGAACGGCCUGGCCCCACUGGACAUCACCUUCCACCUAACUGAGCCCAGCCAGACCCUGAGAGAUGGGAUGCAGCCAUUGGAUGCGAUGAUCACACCCUGUAACGAGGCCCAGGGCAAUGGCACGGUGGCCUGCUCCUGCCAGGACUGCGCCGCCUCCUGCCCCGUCAUCCCCCCGCCUUCCAACCUGCGCCCCUUUUUCUACCUGGGCCUCUUGCCAGGCUGGGCGGUUAUCAUCAUCAUCUUCAGCUGUGUUUUCCUGCUGCUCACCACCAUCCUUGCCCAACUCCGUGUGACUGCCAGGAGGAAAAAGGCCAGAAGCCAAGGUCCCCCUGUGUCCCCUGUCACUUCGGAGAAACACAGGUGUUCCCCGAACACAGUUCUUGCCCGUUUCUUUGAGAGGUGGGGAAGAACGGUGGCCUCGUGGCCACUGACCGUCCUGGCAGUGUCCUUGGUGGGAGUUGUGGCCUUGGCAUCGGGCCUGACAUUCCUGGAACUCACCACGGACCCCGUGGAUCUGUGGUCAGCUCCCAACAGCCAAGCCCGGCAGGAGAAGGAGUUUCACGACCAGCAUUUUGGCCCCUUCUUCCGGACCAACCAGGUUUUCCUGACGGCAACCAAUCGGUCCAGCUAUAUGUACGACUCCCUGCUGCUGGGGCCCAAGAACUUCAGCGGGAUCCUGAGCCUGGACCUCUUGCUGGAGCUGCUGGACCUGCAGGAGAGGCUGAGGCACCUGCAAGUGUGGUCACCAGAGGCGCAACGCAACAUCUCCCUGCGGGACAUCUGCUACGCGCCCCUCAAACCACACAACACCAGCCUCUCCGACUGCUGCAUCAACAGCCUCCUGCAGUACUUCCAGAGUAACCGCACACUCCUGCUG
rnacentral:lncRNA from 1 species